CAGCCAGCUGCUAGACCCUGAAACGAGGCAAAGAUCAUUUAAGCACUUUAAUUCUCGAGGAUAAAUGGUCUAUUUUUUGCUGCCUUGAUGACCCUUUUCAGAGGGCAGGCUCUGUACCUCCUUCCUGAUGGUAACGAUAAGAAGAGAGCAUGUCCUGGGUGGUGGGGAUCCUUAAUGAUGGAAGCCGCUUUCCUGAGGUCCUUGAAGAUGUCUUGGAUACUAUGCAGGGUCCAUAGCUCACAGUGGAGUAGAGGCCAGCGAUGACUUCCCAUCUCCAUUGUCUUCUGUUCUGAGCCAGUUUCUCAAUGGUAUGGUUGGAGUUCAUCAAUGUUUCUGUAAUCCACUAUACAGGGGAUUGCCCUCUACAGCUACACUCGAGCCCUGUUGA